rnacentral:rRNA from 1 species
GAGUUUGAUCCUGGCUCAGAUUGAACGCUGGCGGCAGGCCUAACACAUGCAAGUCGAGCGGAAACGAUCCUAGCUUGCUAGGAGGCGUCGAGCGGCGGACGGGUGAGUAAUGCAUAGGAAUCUGCCCGGUAGUGGGGGAUAACCUGGGGAAACUCAGGCUAAUACCGCAUACGUCCUACGGGAGAAAGCAGGGGACCUUCGGGCCUUGCGCUAUCGGAUGAGCCUAUGCCGGAUUAGCUAGUUGGUGAGGUAAUGGCUCACCAAGGCCGCGAUCCGUAGCUGGUCUGAGAGGAUGAUCAGCCACAUCGGGACUGAGACACGGCCCGAACUCCUACGGGAGGCAGCAGUGGGGAAUAUUGGACAAUGGGCGCAAGCCUGAUCCAGCCAUGCCGCGUGUGUGAAGAAGGCCUUCGGGUUGUAAAGCACUUUCAGUGAGGAAGAACGCCUUGGGCCUAAUACGCCCAAGGGAAGACAUCACUCACAGAAGAAGCACCGGCUAACUCCGUGCCAGCAGCCGCGGUAAUACGGAGGGUGCGAGCGUUAAUCGGAAUUACUGGGCGUAAAGCGCGCGUAGGUGGCGUGAUAAGCCGGUUGUGAAAGCCCCGGGCUCAACCUGGGAACGGCAUCCGGAACUGUCAAGCUAGAGUGCAGGAGAGGAAGGUAGAAUUCCCGGUGUAGCGGUGAAAUGCGUAGAGAUCGGGAGGAAUACCAGUGGCGAAGGCGGCCUUCUGGACUGACACUGACACUGAGGUGCGAAAGCGUGGGUAGCAAACAGGAUUAGAUACCCUGGUAGUCCACGCCGUAAACGAUGUCGACUAGCCGUUGGGAGCCUCGAGUUCUUAGUGGCGCAGUUAACGCGAUAAGUCGACCGCCUGGGGGAGUACGGCCGCAAGGUUAAAACUCAAAUGAAGUUGACGGGGGCCCGCACAAGCGGUGGAAGCAUGUGGUUUAAUUCGAUGCAACGCGAAGAACCUUACCUACCCUUGACAUCGUGCGAACUUGGUAGAGAUACCUUGGUGCCUUCGGGAACGCACAGACAGGUGCUGCAUGGCUGUCGUCAGCUCGUGUUGUGAAAUGUUGGGUUAAGUCCCGUAACGAGCGCAACCCCUGUCCCUAUUUGCCAGCGAUUCGAUCGGGAACUCUAGGGAGACUGCCGGUGACAAACCGGAGGAAGGUGGGGACGACGUCAAGUCAUCAUGGCCCUUACGGGUAGGGCUACACACGUGCUACAAUGGCAGGUACAAAGGGUUGCAAGACGGCGACGUGGAGCUAAUCCCAUAAAGCCUGCCUCAGUCCGGAUCGGAGUCUGCAACUCGACUCCGUGAAGUCGGAAUCGCUAGUAAUCGUGCAUCAGAAUGGCACGGUGAAUACGUUCCCGGGCCUUGUACACACCGCCCGUCACACCAUGGGAGUGGACUGCACCAGAAGUGGUUAGCUUAACCUUCGGGAGAGCGAUCACCACGGUGUGGUUCAUGACUGGGGUGAAGUCGUAACAAGGUAACC